rnacentral:rRNA from 1 species
AGUGAACGCUGGCGGUAGGCCUAACAUAUGCAAGUCGAACGGCAGCACAGGAGAGCUUGCUCUCUGGGUGGCGAGUGGCGGACGGGUGAGGAAUACAUCGGAAUCUACUCUGUCGUGGGGGAUAACGUAGGGAAACUUACGCUAAUACCGCAUACGACCUACGGGUGAAAGCAGGGGACCUUCGGGCCUUGCGCGAUUGAAUGAGCCGAUGUCGGAUUAGCUAGUUGGCGGGGUAAAGGCCCACCAAGGCGACGAUCCGUAGCUGGUCUGAGAGGAUGAUCAGCCACACUGGAACUGAGCCACGGUCCAGACUCCUACGGGAGGCAGCAGUGGGGAAUAUUGGACAAUGGGCGCAAGCCUGAUCCAGCCAUACCGCGUGGGUGAAGAAGGCCUUCGGGCUGUAAAGCCCUUUUGUUGGGAAAGAAAUCCAGCUGGCUAAUACCCGGUUGGGAUGACGGUACCCAAAGAAUAAGCACCGGCUAACUUCGUGCCAGCAGCCGCGGUAA